UACGGAGGAUCCGAGCGUUAUCCGGAUUUAUUGGGUUUAAAGGGUGCGCAGGCGGUAUGUUAAGUCGGCGGUGAAAUUUUGCAGCUCAACUGUAAAAGUGCCUUCGAUACUGUUUGGCUAGGAUUUGGUUGUAGUGUGCGGAAUGUGUGGUGUAGCGGUGAAAUGCUUAGAUAUCACACAGAACACCGAUUGCGAAGGCAGCACACUAAGUCAUUAUUGACGCUGAGGCACGAAAGUGUGGGGAUCAAACAGGAUUAGAUA
rnacentral:rRNA from 1 species